CCUACGGGUGGCAGCAGUGGGGAAUAUUGGACAAUGGGCGAAAGCCUGAUCCAGCCAUGCCGCGUGUGUGAAGAAGGCCUUCGGGUUGUAAAGCACUUUCAGUGGGGAAGAAAGCCUUGGGGCUAAUACCCUCGAGGAAGGACAUCACCCACAGAAGAAGCACCGGCUAACUCCGUGCCAGCAGCCGCGGUAAUACGGAGGGUGCGAGCGUUAAUCGGAAUUACUGGGCGUAAAGCGCGCGUAGGCGGUCUGAUAAGCCGGUUGUGAAAGCCCCGGGCUCAACCUGGGAACGGCAUCCGGAACUGUCAGGCUAGAGUGCAGGAGAGGAAGGUAGAAUUCCCGGUGUAGCGGUGAAAUGCGUAGAGAUCGGGAGGAAUACCAGUGGCGAAGGCGGCCUUUUGGACUGACACUGACGCUGAGGUGCGAAAGCGUGGGUAGCAAACAGGAUUAGAUACCCCAGUAGUC
rnacentral:rRNA from 1 species